GAACACCANUGUUUAAUGNNACUUACUGGACUGUAACUGACGCUGAGUCACGAAAGCGUGGGUAGCAAACAGGAUUAGAUNCCCUGGUUAGUCCACGCUGUAAACUGAUUGAGUUGCUAGGUNUUGGGUAGCGAUAUUCAGUGCCGUAAGUAAACACAAUAAGCACUCCGUCUGGGGAGUACGGUCGCAAGACUUGAAACUCAAAGGAAUUGACGGGGACCCGCACAAGCAGCGGAGCAUGUGGUUUAAUUCGAAGCAACNCGAAGAACCUUACCAAGGCUUGACAUNCCCUUGACCGGCACAGAGAUGUGCCCUCUCCUUCGGGAGCAAGGGUUGACAGGUGGUGCAUGGAUUGUCGNCAAGCCUCUGUGUCGAGAGAUUGUUGGGUUAAGUUUCCCGCAACCGAUGCGCCAACCCUUNUUCUUAANUUGUCCANCCUGGUUUAAGAGCUGUGGCANCUCUUAAUGGAUANAACUNCNCCUAAUGAAUAAAUUNG
rnacentral:rRNA from 1 species